CACGGGGGGAGCAAGCGUUGUUCGGAUUCAUUGGGCGUAAAGAGCUCGUAGGUGGCUCUGUAAGUCGGAGGUGAAAGACCACGGCUCAACCGUGGAAACGCCUUCGAAACUGUGGAGCUUGAGGCUGGGAGAGGGAAUCGGAAUUCCUGGUGUAGCGGUGAAAUGCGUAGAUAUCAGGAGGAACACCGGUGGCGAAGGCGGAUUCCUGGACCAGUUCUGACACUGAGGAGCGAAAGCUAGGGGAGCAAACAGG
rnacentral:rRNA from 1 species